UGUAGAUGAUAAGAAAAUGUACUAUGAAACUGUGUAAACAUCUCAGUUCAGAAGAGACGCUGCUGUGUGUGUUUCACUGCGAGAGCUGAUUAUGACCGACUUCAGUGCUGGAGUGAAUGUGGACCCUCUUCUGCUCAUCAAGGAAACAGAUGCAGAUGGAGUGUAGAAUAGAAACAACAUGCAGAAAACUGCUGGAGCUUCAGAAACCACAGACCAGCAAAAACAGCAGGACUGAGAGAGAAAUGGAGGACAGAAAUAAAACACUAACCAGUGAAUCACAAGAGAAAGGCAGAGAGAUUUGUUAGAUGUGAGAGCAUGGGGAAAAUAAAGCCAGACCUCUCUUGUGAAGACCUGAACAUUAUCCUUCAUCACAACAGCUCUUGGACUCGGUUUCAGACUCGUCUGAUCACAAACAAACAGACUCAUGAAGGGUUUCUCUCUCAGAUCUGUGUCUCAAUCCUGCUCUGAUGCACUUUACUGACAACAUUCUGCAUCAACACUCAAUCUCUGCUUCUGCCGUGUUUCACUCAGUAUUCUGCACUGCCUCACAUAUUUAUGACUGCAAUAUUCUGCAUUUCUCGUCUACAUUUGAUUCAUCAUGUAUAUUUAGUAUUUAUGUGUUUAUAUUUUAAUACAGUUCAUAGAUUCUAUAUUUCUCUAUAUAUUUUUGUAUAACUCUGUACUAUUUUACAUGCAUUUAUUACUCAUCCUUCCUCUCUAAUCUUGUACCUGUACAGAGACAAUAAAGACAAAGCUUGAAUUAAUAUGAACAGAAAUCUGCUGUUAUGUUUGGAGAAGUUCAGUACAUUUCAUCUGGAUUCUUUACAUGUUUAAUUAUGCAAAACUGAAAUAUUUAUAAAUAAAUGUUUUGCUAUAUUUUCAUAUUUAUAAAUCUGAUAGAAUUAUCAAGCAAGUGAUAUUCACUUCAUACUGAAGACAGUAUUCAGUUGUAUAGUGUUUGUCCAGAGCUGGUGUUUGCCGUAACAUACUUAUACACAUUUAUACUGUAGUUCAGAUCAUUGAGUGCCUUAAAAGUGUCUGUACUCUCA